UUAACAGCGGAGGAAAAGAAAUUUAACAAAGGGAUUCCCCUCAAGUAAACGGCGAGUGAAGUGGGAACAGCUCAAGCUUGAAAUCUCUGUUGCUUGCAACAGCGAAUUGUAGUCUCGAGAAGCGUUUUCCCGGUGGACCUUACCUGUCAAAGUUGCUUGGAAGAGCACAUCGGAGAGGGUGACAGUCCCGUUCGUGACAGGUCAGGCUGCCAACGAUACGCUUUCCAUGAGUCGGGUUGCUUGGGAAUGCAGCCCAAAAUUGGUGGUAAACUCCAUCUAAAGCUAAAUAUUGGCACGAGACCGAUAGCGAACAAGUACCGUGAGGGAAAGAUGAAAAGAACUUUGAAAAGAGAGUUAAAAAGUGCGUGAAACCGUUAGUGGGGAAACGGAUGCAGUUAGCAAUGCUUCGGCGAGAUUCAGGCGGUCACCUGGCUGGACGGGCAGUGUGUGGAUCCGAAUGGACUGUCGCUGCUUGGCUUGGUCUUGUGCUCGUCGCACUUCUCGUCGGAGCGCGUCAACAGCUGCUUGACUUGAGCGAUACGGUGCUCGGGAAGGUAGGCGUGUGUCUUCGGACUUGCGUUGUUAUAGCCCGUGGCAUUCCCAGUUCGAGUUUGGCAGAGGCGAACGGUGCAUGCUCUCUAGGGGGCUGGCGUCCUUCUCUUGAUCGAUUGUCGAGCAUGGCGGACUGCUUGCAGUGCGUCUGAACUGCUGUUGGUCAUUCGGGAGGAUCGCGCACACUAUGCACCUAGGUUGUUGGCGGCCAUAUGGCUUCAUCUGACCCGUCUUGAAACACGGACCAAGGAGUCUAACAUGUGCGCAAGUCUUGGGGUGACCGAAACCCAAAGGCGCAAUGAAAGUAAAGGCUGCCUGGCAGCCGAGGUGAGAUCUUCGUUCCGCGUGUCCGAAGCGCAUCAUCGACCGACCUAUUCUACUCCUAGAAAGGUUUGAGUAAGAGCGCAUCUGUUGGGACCCGAAAGAUGGUGAACUAUGCCUGAGUAGGGUGAAGCCAGAGGAAACUCUGGUGGAAGCUCGUACCGAUUCUGACGUGCAAAUCGAUCG
rnacentral:rRNA from 1 species